CAACAUUUGUCGAGUUAGUCAACGUGUAUUCAAGAACCUUUGUCACUUGUUGAGAGAAGAGAGAGGGUUGCUACAUACUAAAAACAUGGAGAUUGAUGAAAUGGGUGGCAAUAUUUCUCGUAACCGUUGGCCACAACAUUAAAAAACCGGAAAGCACAGUUCCUCUUCCAACGAUCCAGCGAGACAAUUAGUCGAACUUUCAAGCGUGUCCUCUUGGCGAUUCUGAAAGUCAGUCCCCUACUUCUCGCCACCCCCACGACGGUCCUUCUUGAUUGCACCGAUUGACGAUUGUGGUACUUUCUGGUAAGUGCUGAAAUUGUCAUGUGCAGUAAUGAGAUUAACAAUCACAAAAUCUUUUGCAACAGGGUUGUUUAGGAGCAAUGGAUGGGAUGAUGGUGUCCGUUCGUGGUUCGUCUGAGGAUGCACCAAAGUACCGGAACCGUAAAUCCAUAACUGCCAUUAACUUCCUCGGCGUCUGCAACUGGAGUAUGGCAUUCGUCUAUUGCUUAAGUGGAUGGCCCGGAUCUACACAUGAUGGUCGCGUUCUUCAUGAUGCAAUGGCCCAAAACGUAAAUUCCUUUGUCAUUCUUAAAGAUGCAACGCCCCAAACGUUCCGUCAUUUAACCUAUCUCCUUAACUUUUAGCUGUAACUAGUUACGAUGGCCGCGUGAUGCUGCAAAGUUUUUAUUCGUUAUUGGUGUGACUUUACUUACUCGUAGGUUAUAGUGGUUGCACUAUACCACAAAGACUUUAAUAUCUUAAAUUUCAUAUCCUCCUAAAUUUUUAGUUAUCGUGAGAACAAUUAUUAUAUGGUCGAUGAUAUCAAUAAUAAAGCAUUUGAAAAAUCAGGAUAUAAAAGAAAGUUAGCAGUAAGGGAAAAAAAGGAGAGUGACAAUUAUUAUUUCAUUGUUGAGUUGGUAAAAUGACAUUAUUAUUCCCUUGAUUAUAUUAUACCAAUAUUAUAAGAUACUAUCAUGUCAUUAUUAUAUCAACUUUUUAGCACUAUCACAAAAUGUUGAUGGUCUCAUAACAAAAAUCUGCAAUAAAAUAUAUAAAGAUUGCUUUAGUGAUUGGUGACUCGGAGGUCUUAGGUUCGAUUUCAACACAUAUCAUGAAGGCAUGAAUGGAUAUCGUUGUAAUAAUGUUUAUUUCACUUUUUGAUAGUGCCUUGACACAAAUAUAAAAUAAAAUAUAUCAUGAUUGCUUUAGUAGUGGAGUUGUGCCAGCUAGUCAUCCGAAGCAGUUGUGCCAGCUAGGCACGUGAAGGUCUCGGGUUCGAACCCAUGCAUGACAGACCUAGGAUGUGACUUCUCCGGGCACGUGCCCUCCCCUUUUCGGCGUCGGGAGUGACAAAUCUAAUUAUUAAAUUAUGAUUUUUUUUAUUUCAACUUAGUAAUGUUUCAAAUUUGGCCGCGUGCUACUUUCAAUCCUCGCACCGUCACUGAUAUCAUAAAUGGACACUGUUGUAAUGUUUAAUCGCUUCUGUUAUUUAACUUAGUAAUAUUUUAUAUGUGACCACGUGCUACUUUCAAUCUUAGAACCGUCUCUGAUCCAUAAAUGCAACAUUGUUGUAAUGUUUAUUGCGGUUACUAUCUUGUAUUGGCUNNNNNNNNNNNNNNNNNNNNNNNNNNNNNNNNNNNNNNNNNNNNNNNNNNNNNNNNNNNNNNNNNNNNNNNNNNNNNNNNNNNNNNNNNNNNNNNNNNNNNNNNNNNNNNNNNNNNNNNNNNNNNNNNNNNNNNNNNNNNNNNNNNNNNNNNNNNNAAUUAUAAGAUUAAAAAAAAAUUUAUAAAAAAGUAAACUCCCAUCUUUCUUCUCUGUCAUGACCCACUCUCUGUCAUGACCCACUGCCACCUUAAUUGUUAUAUAUUAUUCCACUACCUUACACAAACUAAAACAUAAAUAAUGGUUAGAAAUCAACUAAAAUUAAAGAAAUGAUGGUUACAUUGGGAGAGGAAUUUACGGUUCACGUGAACAGUAAGAAACAGUAACUCCCCUUGCUUUUUUAAUCUUAAUGUUAGUACGAGAUUAUGAAUUCGUUGGAGUUGGUAUUGUUAUGAGUUUAAUUGAAACCUAAACAGCUGUAAUUAAGUUAUACUACGAUGUUAUGGUCUUGUCAAACUAUAAGUACCAUUAAUGAAAGGGAAAACAAUGCUCACAAUAACAUUUCUUGUCGAGGGUUUAGGAUGUAGUUGUGUAAGAAUGAAGCUUUCGAAAAACUGGUUCGCCAUCUUCGUUUCUUUUGUUGAAAACAAUGGGUCUUAAAGAAUUUCUGCCUGGAAAAUGUUCUGUAUUGUGUCACUGAGAUAUGGUUCUUCGAUUUAUGGGAUCCUGUUUAUUGACUAUACACAGAACUCAGUGAGAGUGUAAUGUUGAUUUACCUACAUAUGUGUACAGUUUGACUGUGUUGUACAUUAACUUUCACUUAUGUGUUGGUGGAUGUAAUGAGCUAAUCUGCAGAACAAAAGUGGGGGGAUCUCAUCCCUGCUUACUUUUGAUCCAACUUCCCUUUGCUGUUCAAACCCAACUAUGGUAUCAUAAUGCUUUGACUCGUUUCUAUACCUGCACAAUCAAUUCAUUAAUAUAGACAGAAAUGGUAUGCGUUCAGCAUUAUUUAGUCAAACACAUUCAAUUGAUCUUUCACUCGUACACUAGAUAUGUGAACAGAUGUAUGGCAUAUAAUUGUCUCUGUGUUGCUUACGUCUUCUUGUUCACUGUUUGCACAGGGAAAUACUACAUCAUGAAGAUGCGUUGGGCUCUCCUUCAAGACUCUUCAUGGUUUUCUCGGACGAAUUUCUCGAUGAUUGUCAAUGCUUGUGCCCUUUUACAUAACUACAUUCGGGGAGUUUUGGGACCUGAUAUCUUCGAGCAAGCUUAACACGAACCGAACUUGUCAACGUCGGAGACAGAAAUCCCCACAUAUGACCAGCUUAUAACUUUGGUUGACCGCAGUGACGAAUGGAAUCACCUGCGUGAUGCUAUGGCAACUGAGAUGUGGGCUACUAGGCAUGCACAUUGAAACAAAACAGUCUGGUUUGAUGUUUCUUUUGUACUGUUCAAGUUAGUAGACACAUUAGUGUGUAGGAAGUCUACGUCCAUGAACCUGUCAUGUAUCCCUUUGGAACUACUUUCAUGAAUUUCAUUCAACUUGUCAUCCAAGAUUCUGUGUUUGUUAUAUAACAAGUGGUUUUGCUAAAAGUAGUAACCCAUUUGUCAUUACACUGCCACUUGUUACAGGUGAAUUACAGGAUGUCCCGUAAGUACAAUUCGUAGUCGAAGCCGGAGGAGAAUUCGUUUUUUGAAAUUCUCCACAAUCUGCUGUCAACCGAUCAACUACAAAAGGGGGUGCUGGUCGGUCCAAGCUUCUCUCAGCUUGUAGCUCAACUGAAGGAGCUUCAGCCAUCAUGUACACACGAUGCUAUAACGGUGAAGCCGAAGUCAGAUGGUACAAGAACAAGUUCAAUGCACAGUUGGAUCUAAUGAACUCAUUAGGCAUAGGUUGGAACGACGCACGAGGUUGUUGCGAAUGUGACUCUGAGACUUGGAGGUUGUGGGUUAAGGUUAAAUGAUUUCUUUUGAUGUUAUUUUUUCAUAUUAUGCACGUAGUUUAGGGAAUGUAUUCAUAUUAAACAGAUUGUGAGAUGGUUGAACCCCAAACCCAGGAAACAGUAAGCAUUGUCUUCAUUAGAAGACUAAGUCACACGUAUAUACUGAUUCUAUACAUUGCAUAAGCAAACUCUAAUUCAAAAGUUAGCUCAUUCACUGUUGUUAUAACAGUUAGCUCAUUUACUGUCACAAAUGGACUUAAAUUAUAUUAUUGUAUAGUGGAUUUUAGCCUCUUGUAUCAAUCUAACUCGCUCACAUUGACUCAUUCCUCUUCUCUAUUUCAGAGUCAUCCAUUCGUAGCAGGGCUGCAACACGCGAAACUGGAACGGUGAGAUGAAUUAUUUAAGAUCUUCGAGUGAGGCCGUGCUGAUGGGACGGAGUCCAUGACGGCAACUGAAGCUGCAACAGCUCUAUAAGCUGAAUUGAAUGCAGGUUUCAGCGAGCCACAAUUGGGGAAUGAUAACUACACAGCUGAGGCGACCCCGA
rnacentral:lncRNA from 1 species